GUAUUGUGGGGACCACCUCUCCGAGAGGUGUUAGGCACUAGCCAGCCACGACGGCUUGCACGCGAGAUCUAGACCCCUUCGUGCAGACACCAAGCCAGCCGUCUCAGCCAGCCAGGCCGCUUUUUUGG
rnacentral:ncRNA from 1 species